UUUUUUUGUUUGUGUCUCGUUGCGAGAAGUUCAAAUUAGAUAGGUUGGCAUUAAAAUGUGAAGUGAACCAAAUUUCCCCUCCUAUCCUUAGCUGGCUGUGAGUAGGAAAAACAAGGGAGCAGAUUUACCCAGAUAUGACAUGACUGGCAAAAUAAUCAAGUUCCUCAAGCUCGGAGCACGUGUAAAGGGUCACCCUCGAAGGACUCUGCAUGUGACUUUUAAAUUCUAAAGAAAAAGAAAUCCUGUCUGAGCAGAGCUGUAGCCUGUUCUUUUGUAGGAUUACAUCAGCAUGUUGUCCUGCCCUGCAUGUGUAAGUGUUGGUAUUUAUUAUUCAGCAGCUGGGAAAGUGAAUAGUCUGGAGGCUUAGAGUUCAUGGGGAGGGGGCUGAACUUUACAUUCAGUCGGCUAAUUUUUUGCUGAUGGGAGACGGGCCGGGCACUUAUCCUGUUUUCCAGAAAACUGCUGAACAAGGAGAAGAGCUUUUGACAACCUUCCUCCUUCCCUCCCCGCCCCCCCACACCCAGGAGCCAUGUGGGGAGGGGAGCCAACAAGGUAUUGAGAGGCAACAUUAAAAGGGCACCGUUAAUUGCUCUCCUAGCUUAUGGCGUGCAAACCGGUUAAGCCCAGAGCACCUGGGUUUAAGACCAUUUACUUCACUGAGAAGAAAGCAAUGUUUUGCUCUCCUAUCACCCUGGAACAAAAACACCAUGUUACAGCUGCUGCCACCACCAGAAAGAAGGUCCCAAGGCAGGUUACAACAUUAUAAAAUACAGCAUUAGUGUUUGUUUGUGUGUGUGUGUGUGUGUGUGUGUGUGUGUGUGUAAAAGGCCAGGAUAAAGAGGAACAUCUUCAAAAUUUGAUGAACAUUGCAUAAUUAUAUAUAUAUAUUUUAUUAGUAUUAGUAUUAAUAAAUAGUAGUAUUUAUAACUCAUACCCCGCCCAUCUGGCUGAGUUACCGCAGCCACUCUGAGCAACUUCCCACAAAUUAAAACACAGUAAGAAAUCAAACACAGUAAGUAAUCAUCCCAGUAGUGAUGUAUGGAAGUGAGAACUGGACCAUAAAGAAGGCUGAUCGCUGAAGAAUUGAUGCUUUUGAAUUAUGGUGCUGGAGGAGACUCUUGAGAGUCCCAUGGACUACAAGAUCAAACCUCUCCAUUCUGAAGGAAAUCAGCCCUGAGUGCUCACUGGAAGGACAGAUCCUGAAGCUGAGACUCCAAUACUUUGGCCACCUCAUGAGAAGAGAAGACUCCCUGGAAAGACCCUGAUGUUGGGAAAGAUUGAGGGCACAAGGAGAAGGGGACGACAGAGGAUGAGAUGGUGGGACAGUGUUCUCGAAGCUACCAGCAUGAGUUUGACCAAACUGCAGGAGGCAUUGGAAGACAGGAGUGCCUGGCAUGUUCUGGUCCAUGGGGUCACGAAGAGUCAGACAUGACUAAACGACUAAACAACAACAAGAAAUCAAACAUUAAAAACUUCCCUAUGCAGGAGUCCCUUCAGAUGUAUUCUAAAAGUGAGAUAGUUGUUUAUCUCCUUGACAUCUGAUGGGAGGGCAUUCCACAGGGCGGGCGCCACCACCGAGAAAGCCCUCUGCCUGGUUCCCUGUAACCUCACUUCUUGCAGGGAGGGAACCAUCAGAAGGCCCUUGGAGCUGGACCUCAGUGUCCAGGCUGAAUGAUGGGGGUGGAGACACUCCUUCAGGUAUACUGGGCCGAGGUCAUUGAGGGCUUUAAAGGUCAGCACCAACCCCUUGAAUUGUGCUCAGAAACGUACUGAGACAAUGGUACAAUGAGGGUGGCAGAUGCACCUCUGUGGGGAAUUCCGCAACUUAGAGGCUGCCACAGAAAACUCCCUCUCGGGGGUCACCACCACUGUACCUGUGUAGGUAAUGGAACUGCUAAGAGGACCACCUCUGCUGAUCUUAAUACCUGGGAGGGUCUGGAGGGAAGGAGGUGUCACUUGUUAUGCAAGUAACAAAGGGCUACACUCAUGACUAAGGUCCCAUCCACAGCAGACCCUUAAAUCACAUUUAACACACACAAAUCCCAGAAACUGAUUUCUUAUGGGAAUUUAACUCUGAGGGGGAUAAACUGCCUGUGGUAAAGAUGUGUGAAAUUAUGCCUGGUAUGAAAAAUGCGAAUUGAGAGAAGUAGUGGUGGCCACCAACUUGGAUGGCUUUAAAAAAAGGAUUAGACGAAUUCGUGGAAGGUAAAAGGUAAAGGUAAAGGACCCCUGGACGGUUAAGUCCAGUUAAAGGCGACUAUGGAGCAGCUUCUCUGUCCACAUGCUGCUGCCCAUUUCGGUGAGAUGACCACUUCACUCAUACUUCUGCUGACCACCUCACUAAGGUGAACAUACAGGGUCCACCAUCUGCUCCCAACUAAGCCCGCCUCACUGAGAAAGAGAUUGUGUUGACAUGCACCUGCUUUUGGCAGCUUCCAUAAGAGAAAUAAAUAUUCUGUCCACAUGCUACUGCCUGCCUGAGUGGAAGAGGAAUGAAGAUGAAUGAAUGCCUCUCCCCACAAGAUGAUGCUCCCUGCCUGAAGGACAGGGGCUGCCCACUGUGGCCCAUGCUAGCCACCUGAGGGAGAAAAACUGGCCACUGUGAUCUCAUGCUGAUGUUGCCUAUUUCACAGACUGGCCACUGUGUUCUCACAUUGAUGUGUCCAACCAGAAGGAGAGACAAAGGCCAUUGUGAUGUCAUGCUGAUGCUGAAAGAGAGAGAAACAGGCCAAUGUACCAGCCCACAACUGCUGUUCACCUGAAUAACAAGGAGACACUGCCUGGCACGCCAACACAUUGCUCACCAUGUUCAUGAGAAUUAUGUCCUUUGCACCUUGGACCAAACUGGGGUUUCUUAACUUGCUUUUACUCUCCUGUUCCUGCAUAUUAGGUUCCCUUACCAGAGGUCUACAAUAACAAGGUAAUGAAUCAACCCCAUUUAUUUGUACACAAAAGGCAGGUAAAGGUAAAACGUAAAGGAUCGCUGGACAGUUAAGUCCAGUCAAAGGCAACUAUGGGGUUGCAGCGCUCAUCUCGCUUUCAGGCCGAGGGAGCCAGCGUUUGUCCACAGACAGCAUUCUGGGUCACGUGGCCAGCAGGACUAAACUGCCUCUGGUGCAAUGGAACACCGUGACGGAAACCAGAGCGCACGGAAAUGCUGUUUACCUUCCCACUGCAGCAGUACCUCUUUAUUUACUUGCACUGGUGUGCUUUUGAACUGCUAGGUUGGCAGGAGCUGGGACAAAGCAACAGCGCCUCAUCCCUUCAUGAAGACUUGAACUGCUGACCUCAUGAUCAGCUAGCAUGAGAGGCUCUGUGGUUUAGACCACAGCACCACCCACGUCCACUUCCUGUAAAUAGAGAGGCCCUGUAAUAGAUUAAUUGCCUACUUGCCUGCUCUUUGCCUUGCCUGCUGCUUCUCUGUCCGCAUGCUGCUGCGCAUUUCGGUGAGAUGACCACAACACUCAUAGUUCUGCUGACCACCUCACUAAGAGAAGAACAUACAGGGUCCCCAUCUGCUCUCAACUAAGCCCGCUGCACUGAGAAAGAGAUUGUGUUGACAUGCACCUGCUUUUGGCAGCUUCCAUAAGAGAAAUAAAUAUUCUGUCCACAUGCUACGGCCUGCCUGAGUGGAAGAGGAAUGAAGACAUAUGAAUGCCUCUCCCCACAAGAUGAUGCUCCCUGCCUGAAGGACAGGGGCUGCCCACUGUGGCCCAUGCUAGCCACCUGAGGGAGAAAAACUGGCCACUGUGAUCUCAUGCUGAUGCUGCCUUUUUCCCAGACUGGCCACUGUGUUCUCACAUUGAUGUGUCCAACCCGAAAGAGAGACACAGGCCAUUGUGAUGUCAUGCUGAUGCUGAAGGAGACAGAAACUGGCCAGUGUACCAGCCCACAACUGCUGUUCACCUGAAUAACAAGGAGACACUGCCUGGCAUGCCAACACAUUGCUCACCAUGUUCAUGAGAAUUAUGUCCUUUGCAUCUUGGACUAAACUGUGGUUUCUUAGCUUGCUUUUAAUCUCCUGUUCCUGCAUAUUAGGUUCCCUUACCAGAGAUAAACUCCUUUUCCUUCCUCAAAAGUAUGAAACUAGUACAGAUUUUGGAGAUCUAUGGAGGAAUCUAACAUCACAAUAUUAUGAAUAUUCUGUCAGUACAAGAAUUUUUUGCUUGCGAGAUAGAAUUGUUUUCCCUCUCCUCCAUCAAUACACUGCUCUGGGGCUUCUUUCAACUCCCCAUAGCUGAUUUGGGGAGUGGGGAGCUCACAGGGGAAUGAGAGCAGGAAACCUAUUGCACUAGUGGGAUUUGUUGCUUUGGCUUCUGUAAGCACAACUGUUUAGUUGAACCCAACCCAUAGUUUGUAUAAUAAAGGUAUUGCCCUAACGUGGAAUAUAGAGGAAAGUGAUUGCCUUCCUCAUAGAAGCCCCAGACCAUGCAAUUUGGCAGGCUUAAUUCACCCUGGAAGUUCUCCUGUGCCUUCAAAUUUCAUCCGCUUCCACCAAGAAGUGUUGAAAGUUAUAACCCUUCUUAGAUUCCCCGUAAGAGUAAACCUGGAACACAGAGUUUUGUUUUAUACAGAGCACCUUGGGACACAAAUCUUCAUGUGGGUUUUAACCCUUGUCCUUCAGCAUAUCUGAGCUCCAGCAUCAGCCUAUAUAUGGAGGAGAUCACUCCCCUUGCGCCUCUUGAGUCCUCCCUACAUAGGUUUUUUAAAUAAUAAUAAUACUCAGAGAACAAUGAGCCCCUUCUGUCCAUAACAUACUUGCAGAAAAUGAUUGAUCCUGUAUUUUCUGAAACCAGCUAAUUCUUUUUCUAAAAAAAGUUUUUUUAAAAAAUUAAUACAAAAUCACAAGUACAAACAAGCAGAAAUAAUCAAAGUUAGAAAACAUGGGAGCAGUACAGAAGUUGCAUUCUCCAAAUAGAGAGCAGAUAACGUGGAAAAACAAAGCUGCUAAACACAUCAUGAGACAUUUAACACAUAAGAAGCCACAUUUAACACAUAAGAAAUGGUAUCUUACCAAAUGGCAUAGAAACGUUCUGGGUCUUCCUUAGAAAUGUGGUAAUCUGUGAGUUAUUUUCCCUGCAAUAGCCAGAGUUCACAUAUUCUUGCACCACAACGCGAGGUUUAAAUCCUGUGUGUGUUGUCUUCCAUUUCUGGGCCAAAGAAGUUCUCACUGUAGCCAGCAUCCAUGUAAAAAGUUUCUUAGAUUGGAAAACCGCUGUUUGAUCGUCCCACAAGUUCAAAAGGGCAAGUUGUGGAGAGACUUGAAUGGGCUAUUUAAUUUUUUUUUUAAAAAAAAAAUCUUCAAAAAUACCAGUCCAAAAUUUGGAUGCCAGAGGGCAUUCCCAGCAUAAGUGGAAAAAUGUCCCCCUGCUACCGCAACCAUGCCAGGAAUCCUGUGGGGUAUUUGAUGUCAUAGGAGAAAACAGCACAGGCGUGUGGUGCCACCGGUGCAGAUUUUUUAAAGGAAUAUUCCCUUACAAUAAGCAGAGGUUGAUUUAUAGAGCUUAUAUGUCCAUAUUGCAUCCCAAUUAAAGUCAACUUUUCCUUCUCCCAGGUGAGUUUGAGACCUUGUAAUGGGCCCAUACAGAUAUCAAAAAAUUCCUUAUAAAAACAGAUGCUGAUCCUCUGUCUCUGGUUUAAUAAAAGUCCUUCAGUAGUCAGCUAAUUCUGAAACCCCGAAGAAAGUUGUCCAGCUUCUCCUCCAUGAGAGGUUAACCUUGCUCAGAGAAACCACAAACUCUUCUAUAAAGCCAGGACUCCUACUCAUUAUAUUGCUUGCAUUUGUUUCAAUCUGCAAACCUAUCAAUAUUUUGAACAACAUUCAUAUGGUCUUCUCUUCUUACCAUUUCACCCCACCACCAUUACCAAUAUUUCCCCAAUAUUUAAUGUGAAAUAUUUGAAUUUGAGAAAUGUAGAGCCCAAAUUUGCCAGCCUUCCUGUUGUUGUUGUUGUUUAGUUGUGUCUGACUCUUCGUGACCCCAUGGACCAGAGCACGCCAGGCACUCCUGUCUUCCACUGCCUCCUGCAGUUUGGUCAAACUCAUGCUGAUAGCUUUGAGAACACUGUCCAACCAUCUCGUCCUCUGUCGUCCCCUUUUCCUUGUGCCCUCAAUCUUUCCCAACAUCAGGGAAUCUUCUCUUCUCAUGAGGUGGCCAAAGUAUUGGAGCCUCAGCUUCACGAUCUGUCCUUCCAGUGAGCACUCAGGGCUGAUUUCCUUAAGAAUGGAUAGGUUUGAUCUUCUUGCAGUCCAUGGGACUCUCAAGAGUCUCCUCCAGCACCAUAAUUCAAAAGCAUCAAUUCUUCAGCGAUCAGCCUUCUUUAUGGUCCAGCUCUCACUUCCAAACAUCACUACUGGGAAAACCAUAGCUUUAACUAUACAGACCUUUGUUGGCAAGGUGAUGUCUCUGCUUUUUAAGAUGCUGUCUUCAGAUGCCAGCCUUCCUAGAGACGGCAAACGCAGUGAACUGGAGCACUUGGCGUAACAAUUUCAUGAGGACGAGUUACAAAUGUGCAUGACAAACCCACCAAGAUCUGCAGUCAAGUUUUGAAGCCUGUUCCCUCUUAACUCUGAAAUCAAUGGGAAAAUGGGCUUUGUACAAAGGCAGAGUCAAAUUAAGGAUUCAGCCCAUUCUUUGGGACAUUUCAUCAAUGGGAAGCUUUCAUCUGCAGGUUCUGUUUCCUCACAGGUUGCUUUGCCUCCUCCAUGUAUAUAAGGCUUCUGUGUAACAGGGCAUUGUGAAGGAGCCAGGAGUAGGGACUUUGUGACGGGGCGCAUACCUUUACGGUACGUGCUUCAUUAAACACCUUUCCAUCGAAGCCAAGAGCUCUGUAAACCAGAACGGAAAUCAAAAGCCCUUUUUGGCUGCUUUGCAGCCAGACGAGAAAGGGCUGCGCUGUCUCUCAACACACAGAAGAAAACAAACUUGGAAAACUUCUGGCAGCCCAUGGGCCGAGCAUCAGUUAAGCUCAAAGUACCUGGAAUGGCUUCAUUUUAAGUGGCAAACAUUCUGGUAAACAAUUAAUAAGCUGCAGUUACCAGAUGCUGUGGGAAUUGUGGGGAUCAGAGUGCCUGAAAGAAUUCCAGAUUCUGUGCUCUGCUAAUGUUGUUUGACUUUGAUGCCCGAGGAGGGGGGCAUCUCCACAGUGAGCUAUAAUGUCAGGGUCCUUGUCACUCAAGAUAAUGGAAGGCUCCACAGGGAGGUUAGCCUGGGAGUCCAAGCCAAAUCCUUCUUGGAAUAAGUUUCACAUUCUACCUUCGUUACGUUCCACUAGCAGUAUCAAGUGUACCACGGUUUAUCUCCAGCUGCUCUUUUGGAACACAGUUUCAUCAAAGAGGAGGCUACAUUUUAUUAGCGAGUAGACUGAAUUCUACUUUUUUUUAAAAAAAGGAAAACAAAAACCACAAUACCACAAACGCAUCCAUGCCAGCAAACCUUGCAUGUCGCUCUACUAAACUUAGGAGAAGGUUCUAGAAUCAUCUGACAUCAAACUUUUUGGAAACAUUGUGAAUCGUAUUGAUGCUUGUCCGUGAGCAGAACAGAGUUUGUUCAUUCAGGUCAAUCCUGUUUUCUAAAAAAAAUAUUUUCGUUCAAGUCUACUUUCUUAUAUGAUUUUCAGGAACAUGUACCUGUAUAUAUGAAAGUGCUGAUUUUAUUAAGUUUUAUCUGCCAGUGAGAGGAAUGAGGAUAGAUAAGAGAGAGAGCAGGACUGGCCAUGUGGUGAACUGAAGCCACCACAUCGAGCAGCUGGUGGGGUUGUGUGGCAACAGCUUUUGACAAGAUCUUGGAAGAUCUGCCCGGAAGCUGCUGUGAUGUGACCAUAGUCAGUGAGGCUUAAGCAGGGGAGACAUCUUUCCAUUUCACCUCAGGUUGCAGAAUAGGAUGGGCUGCCUUUGAGAAAGAGAGGAUGGUCAGUGCUAACAUUUCCGCUUGCCAAAUGGAACAAUAUCCCCUCUCCUCCCCCCUCUGCACUGUUCUGGAGGGGUGCGAGUCUCCCAACCUUCCAGGGCAGAUACGGGAAGGGUGCGGGGGCACACAGGGAAGGAGGGGAGAAAUCCCAUUGCGAUAGAUAAAUCUGGCUCUUUGGCCCAACUGCACUAUAGAUUUAAAGCAGCACCAUACCACUUUAAAUAGUCAUGGCUUCUCCCAAAGAAUUCUGGGGCUGAACUGUGUUAAGGGGGCUGAGAGCUGUUAGGAGAUUGCCUAUAUCCCCCAGAGAGCUAAAGUUCUCAGUGUGGUUUAACUAUCAGGCCCUCCAGGGCCGUCUUACCCAUAGGUGCUAGGAGUGAGGGGCACCUGGGCGCUGGGCUCUCAAGGGCGCCAGGCCGAGAGUCCAGGGCCCAAGAGUUGAGUCCAGGGAAGAGCCCACCCAUCAGCCGGGGCACUGCGGUGGGCUCUUCUGCUGCGGGUGGCUCUGCGCUGCGAGUUUGGGGGCGACCGAGCCAGUGAGACGCUGAGGCGGCCGGCCAGCUCCUCCCUCCUGCAUGCCUGGGACUGGGCAACCUGGGGGGGGGGUCGCCGGGCAGAUCUUUGCACCCCGGCAUCGCAUAUGCUUAAGACAGUCCCUGAUGCCCUCUUCCCAGAGAACCCUGUAAAUUGUUGUUCUGUGAGGGGAAUAGGGGUCUCCAAACAACUCUCAGCAUUCCUAACAAAAACUACACCUCUCAGGAUUCUUUGGGGGAAGUCCUGACUGUUUGAAGUAGGAUGAUACUGCUUUAAAUGUAUGGUGCAGAUUGUGGGGUUGCCAUAUUUCAGAAGGUGAAAAUCCAGACACAAAAAUUGUUUAGCUUUUUAAAGUUUUAGAGCUAUUUCCCCCAGAAAUCACCAAAAUCACCACUUCCGAUAUGAGUUGCUGUACGUCUGGAUUUUCCCAGACAUUUCAGCGAUUUCUGCCUGGAUGCUGUUCCCAACAGCCGAAUUCCGGGUAUGUCUGGGAAAUUCCAAAUAUAUGGCAACCCUAGCAGAUUGGGCCUUUGAUCAGCAACAUAUAUGUAAAGGAUUUUGUGUGAGAGAGUGUGACCCUCUUAAAACUUGUUCUGGCGAUAAUAAAACUAAGAGGAAAAGUACAGUUAGUCUUCUCCAGUUGCUUUUGUUCCAGAGACGUAACCACUGGCUGUGAUGGUUGCCCUUAAUUCCCCACACCCCUUUCUAAACAAAUGAAUGGGGAUUGAUUCCUUUAACUGUUACGCCUUCCCAUAAAUUUCCCGAGCUGUAAGAAAUGGUUUAAUUAUACAUAGCUGAACAUUUCUAACAGGUGUUGCUCCUAGCUUAAAUAAUGCCCUUAUGAAUGUUUCCAAAGGUACAUAUUAAUAAUAAUAAAAAAGACUCAUUCAAGUCUACUCAGAAGUUCACUUUAAGAAAAGAGGGACUGCCUUUAAAGAAGGGGACUGAACUUACUGGGCCCUGGAGAGUUAGCAAAGGCAGCAUGAAUGGCAGAGAGGUUAAGCACCCCAGAUGGUACAUUUUCAUCUUUGGCCAUAUCCACAGGAGGGAGCAAUGAGAGGCUGUUCUUAAUUGGGGAGAGCGAAAGUCCAGUCCAUUGAAUGGUUCCUGUUUGCAGACCUGUCAAUGCCGAAAUGAACAUGCGUGUGUGUGAAGGCAUUCAGACAGACGCUGGUUCUUUCUCUGGCCUCGGAGUCUCAUGCUUAUCAUUAUUUUGGUUCUGUCGAAAGCAAAAGGCCAAAGUAACGCUCACAUCCCUGUGUACAAAUACAGUGCUACCUCUGGUUAAGAACUUAAUUCGUUCUGGAGGUCCAUUCUUAACCUGAAACUGUUCUUAACCUGAAGCACCACUUUAGCUAAUGGGGCCUCCCGCUGCUGCCACACUGCCAGAGCACAAUUUCUGUUCUCAUCCUGAAGCAAAGUUCUUAACCUGAGGUAAUAUUUCUGGGUUAGCGGAGUCUGUAACCUGAAGCGUAUGUAACCUGAAGCAUAUGUAACCUGAGGUACCACUGUAGGGCUGAGCCAAGCAAUGCUCUUGGCGAGCGAAACUUAAGCUCAAAAUUCAAGGAGGAUUAAACUCCCUCACCUCACAGAUAAGAGUGACACGGGAAGGAGAUUCUUCAGAAAGCACUGAGGGUCUCUGGUAGUAGCCUGGCUCCCUUUGUUUAUUUGCAGUGGGGGCCACAGGGCUCCUCUCGGUUGCUGUUGUCUUCCUCCGAUGUCAGGGCAUUCUUGGGGAAAUGGCAGCUAUUAGAUGGCGGUUGCAAAAAGAAGGCCUGUCCUCAUGGCCAACCUAGCAGUUCGAAAGCACAAUCAGAAGGUUGGCGGUUCGAAUCCCCACAAAAGGGUGAGCUCCUGUUGCUCGGUCCCAGCUCCUGCCAACCUAACAGUUCUAAAGCACGUCAAAGUGCAAGUAGAUAAAUAGGUACCGCUCCGGUGGGAAGGUAAACGGCAUUUCCGUGCACUGCUCUGGUUCGCCAGAAGCGGCUUAGUCAUGCUGGCCACAUGACCCGGAAGCUGUACGCCGGCUCCCUUGGCCAACAAAGCGAGAUGAGCACCACAACCCCAAAGUAGGCCACGACUGGACCUAAUGGUCAGGGGUCCCUUUACCUUUACUUUACCUCAUGGGCAGCAGCACUAAAAUGGUAGAUGUCCAACAGGUCGAUCGCGAUCAACUGGUCAGUACCCGGAAGGUUUUUGUAGAACGCGGUAGAUCGCUGGCUCCUCCAUUCGGCAGCGCCCUGUCCUCUAGUGUGGUAGAAUGGAAGACAGAGUUGACUGUUUCAUUAGUGAUCUGUUGGAUUUCCUCCCUAAAAAAAGCUUUGAAAACUUUGACCUGAACCCGAAAAAUACGGGUACAGGGCUUUACUCCCUAAAAAAGCUCAAUACAGUGGUACCUCGAGUUAAGUACUUAAUUCGUUCUGGAGGUCCGUUCUUAACCUGAAACUGUUCUUAACCUGAAGUACCAGGUUUAGCUGAUGGGGCCUCCCGCUGCUGCCACCCCACCAGAGCACGAUUUCUGUUCUCAUCCUGAAGCAAAGUUCUUAACCUGAGGUAAUAUUUCUGGGUUAGCAGAGUCUGUAACCUGAAGCGUAUGUACCCUGAAGCAUAUGUAACCCGAGGUACCACUGUAACUUUUACCUGAACCCCCCCAAAAGGGGUAGAUCACUGCCAGUUUUUAAUUGUGUGAGUAGAUUGCAGUGUCUUGGAAGUUGGUAUAAAAUAAGAAAAGGGAAUACAGAGCUGCCUGCAAAUGAUAUUCCUCUUUUCAGAAUGUUCACUCCCUGAAAAAUCCCUAAAUGCUCCUCUCAGACUCAAUGGGGUGGCAUUGGGGGGGCAUUUUCAUUUAGCCCUAGAAUAAAAAGAAAAUGAUCGGCAUUUGAACCAUACCUUUUAGCCUUUCCAAUGUGCUCUAUGAGAGGGCUUGUCCACAUCAGUGGUAUAGUGUGUGGGAGGGGCUGUCUCCCCGAGUGCAAAAUUGCCAGGGGUGCAAAAUUUAAUGGUGAAGCUGCCUAAUUUUCACUUUCUCAAAUAAUGCAGGAAUUGAAAUAUAGCCAUCCUUUGAAAUUUGCACUUUUCCACAACUGCAAUUAAUCCAGAAUGCGGCAGCUAGACUGGUGACUGGGAGUGGCCAUUGGGACCACAUAACACCGGUCCUGAGAAAUCUUCAUUCGCUCCCAGUACAUUUCUGAGCACAAUUCAAAGUGUUGGUGCUGACCUUUAAAGCCCUAAACGGCCUCAGUCCUCUAUACCUGAAGGAGUGUCUCCACCCCCAUCGUUCUGCCCGGACACUGAGGUCCAGCACUGACGGCCUUCUGGCGGUUCCCUCAUUGCGAGAAGUGAGGUUACAGUGAACCAGGCAGAGGGCCUUCUCGGUUGUGGCGCCCGCCCUGUGGAACACCCUCCCAUCAGAUGUCAAGGAAAUAAGCAGUUAUCCUAUCUUUAAAAGACAUCUGAAGACAGCCCUGUUUAGGGAAGUUUUUAAUAUUUAAUGCUGUACUGUUUUUAACAUUUGAUUGGGAGCCACCCAGAGUGGCUGGGGAGACGGGGUAUAAAUAAAUUAUUAUUGUUAAUUUGUUAUUUGUUUAUUGUUAUUGUUAUUAUUUACUCCAGGCAAGUAAUGUGUGUAACAUGUCCAUAUGAAUGUAUACUUUAUUGAAAUAACACCCCAAAAUGCAUUGUUGGGGGGAAAGGGCCUUUAAAGAAACGUGUGUAUCAGGCAAAAUUGGAUACAAUAAUGUCUCUAUUAGAAGAAAUUUGCACCAAUAUGCUGAUGAGAGAGGACUUAAAAAAAAAUUCACAGGCAGAUGUGGAAUUGGAGAGAAUUUAAGAAUGGAAAACAGAGAAGCAGAGAAAAACCAAAACUGACAGAUUUGAACAUCUCUGCUCAGGUGGGCUGGUGUCAAAUUGCAGUUUUAUAGCGCAAUUCCUGUGAAUGCUUGUUGAGAUAGAAGCCCCACUGUGCUAAGUGGGACUUUCUCUCAGAAAAAUGUGUGAAGGAUUGCAGCCUUGGUUGCAGACGGAUGAAGAAGACCUAAAGCAAAAUGUUUCCGCCUGUAGCGCUCCUAUUCACUGUUCCAGCCAGUCCGCUUUGCCUCCCUCCAGAACACUCCAUUCCAUUAGCCCUCCCACCAAAUACCACUCCCCCUAACUCCAAAAGUCAGUCAACACUCUGUGGGCAUUGAGCAUGUUUAGUCCAGGACAUUUCAGGGUGGGGCCUGCCAGUUUCUUUCAGAUUAUAUAUCAGCAAAUCUUGGAGGUUCCCCCAGCCUGCUGAUUCAUCUCUAUUAAGUGUGGCUACUGCUGCUUUCACAAAAUAAAAGCAACAGGACGCACUCCUUAAUACUGGCAAGAGAGGGAAGAAGAGAAUUAUUUGGGAAAUUAAAACAGAAAGAAACCCUUCACUGGAUGAAUCUCGCGACAACGAAAGCAAGUUGGAACCAGAAACUGCCCCAUUAUUUCAGGACCAGGUAUUAAAUAUCUUAAAAAAUAAAUGUGUUGUUGUUAUGUACUGAGUUGAAUAGGAUCCAAAAUGCAGCAGUCUGAUUGGUCCUAGAACAAUAGGAUUCAGAAUGCAGCAGUCUGAUUGGUCCUAGAAAAAUAGGACCCAGGAUGCAGCAGCCUGAUUGGUCCACAGGAGCCACCCAAUCCAGCUUCAGAUGGAAGUGAAUCCGCAACCUGAUUGGCCUACAGUAGAAUCCCGGAAUUAGCCAAUCACGUGGGACCCAUUGUGUAAAUAAUGUAUAUAAAGCAGACAUUCUGGGGAAACUUCCAUUCCUCCUCACCACCAUGAGCUGAAUAAAGAGCCUGAAAUCCACUCUCGACUCCGAGUAUAUUUCAACAGUUGUCCUAAGGUCGCCUUUAUAUAAUUGAGAUUUCAAAUGAAUUCACCACUGAAUGUGGCAAGUGGUACAUGGGAUAUAGCAUGUAUCUGCAGGAGUAGAGAUCCGCUCGCUUUUCUUUGGAUCCCAACCUUCAUGAACAAGACAGGGGAACGAGGAUUCAGGAGUUCUUAGGCUGGAUAAUUCAUCUCUGUACACUGAUAUGCUACAUGAUGAGACCAGAUGGGUUUUUACUGCAGAUAAUGGAACUACAUAAUGAACAACAGUCACCUACAUAUUUUUAUUAGAUUUAGGUGAUACGGGAAGGGGUGGGUCUUAUUUCAGUUUCAAGGACCUUUUUUUAAAAAAAAGAAAAAGGGAGAGAGCUAUGGGUGGCAUUGUUUAAAUCCUUUAUGGAAGAAUAAAACAAGAAAAAUCCAUUCAGACAUACUUUUUAUACUGCAGAUAUAUAGGUGAUUUAUUGAGACUGUGCAAUUAUCAUGUAUGUAGGGUUGCCAUAUUUCAAAAAGUGAAAAUCUGGACACAAAAUUUGUUGAGAAGAAGAAGUAGUUUAAGGAAACUUGCCAAAAUCUAUAAAUUCUGGACGUAUGGCAACCCUAAUAUACAUGUCGAUGUUUUCAUUUGGGAUCAGUGCUGUUCAUCUAUACAUUUGUUCUGCUAUGAAUUUCUGAUCAUUUAAUCCUACCAUUUUUUUGAUAUAGUUUAUCUCUAUGUGGGUCAUUAUUGACAUUUGUACCCCAGGGCAGAAAUGUGAUGUUGGUGUUAAUGAUGGCUUUUUCUGGUUGAACACUGUUGGAAACAGGAUAUUGGGCUGGAUAAUCCUUCCCUUCCCUUGGUCUGAGCUGUGCUCUUCUGUGUCAGAUUAAACCUCAUAGAGGCUCCUAGGCAGUCAAAAUCUCACCCAACCACCCCAAUUAUCUCCUAAUAAUAAAUAAGAAGCUGUAUGCCGGCUCCCUCGGCCAAUAAAGCGAGAUGAGCGCUGCAACCCCAGAGUCGGCCACGACUGGACCUAAUGGUCAGGGGUCCCUUUACCUUUACCUAUUUGUGUUCAUCACUAAUUAUGAAUGACAAACCUUUUCAUGAUUACCACCUAUUGACCCCAUGGAACUUGCACAUGGACUGAAAACUUCCUACAGCUUCUUGAGUCAUCCUGACUCUUGCUGAGAGCCUCUUUGGGAAGCCGGCUGCACAGCUUGCUUUGUAACUAGUAAGCUUCUGUACAUUUCAUAUUUAUCCUUAUAAAAAUCCUUUUGGGUCAGGCCUAGCUUUUUUGCAGCUGACACAGAUUAAUGCAGCCCGGUUCCUUUACAGGGAAAUCUCAAGAUGAAAAGGGUUUUACAUUACCAUGUGAGCACUUUCUGAGUUUAUGAGUGAGUAUACGAUUGAUUCUGAUAACCCCUACACACACACACACACACCAGGGUCCAAUAUUUGGACUUCAUUAAAGCUAUUAUAGAAUUACAUAUGGAUCCGGAACAUGUGUUUGAAGAUGUAUAUGAACCUUUUUAUUGUUCCAAGACCAACAACCAAUCCUGGUGACCAGAUAUAAUUCAAAUAGUAAGGGUUGCCUUCCUUUCUGGGUAACCUUCUCGGGUGUUUGUCACACGUCUGUGGUGAGUGGCUCCAUCUCUGACUAAUGGCCAUGGUCUGAUGGGCGUUGGAGUUCCACAACAUUUGGAGGCCCCAGGAUCCCCAUUCAUGCAGCAGCCUUUCUCAACCUGUGGGUCCCCAGAUGUUGUUGAACUACAACUCCCAUCACCCCAGCUAGCAAGGCCAGAGCUCAGGGAUGAUGGGAGUUGUAGUCCAACAACGUCUGGGGACCCAGAGGUUGAGAACCGCUGCUCUACAGGGUGUGAGACCCAGUUGCCAGACGCAUCCCCUGCACUGAGGUAAUCUCUGAGGGCUUACUUCUGGGUGCCCCUGCCAUCUCAGGUGAGGCAGGUGGUAUCUAGAGAACACCUAUCAGGUGAGAUAGCAUCUUGUCUGUGGAAUGCUUCUCUUAGGGAGACUCACCUGGUGCCAGAUAGGUUGUGUAUUUUUUUAAUUACAGUGGAACCUCGGGCUGCAAAUGUGAUCUGUGUGGGAGGCACGUUCGCAACCCGCAGAGCUGUGUCUGCGCACACGUGGGUUGCGAUUCGGCACUUCUGCACAUGCGCAAAGCACGAUUUAUUGCUUCUGCACAUGCGCAAGCGCUGAAACCUGGAAGUAACCUGUUCCAGUACUUCCGGGUUCGGCGUGGUGCGCAACCCAAAAUAGCGUAACCUGAAAAGUCUGAAACCUGAGGUACCACUGUACAGUGCUGGGAAAAUAACCUUAAAAAUAAAUAAAAAUCUCAAGUCUUUUAAGCUCUGAUGACAUUGUUUUAAUGAUGGAAUUUUAUUUGCUCCUUUUCAUUCAUGUUCUCUCAUUUUUAAAAUAAUAAUAAUAAUAAUAAUAAUAAUAAUAAUAAUAAUAACAACAACAACAAUAGUUUUAAGAUCAUGCACACACAGACAUAUUGGAAGUUGCACUGGACAUAUUUAUAUGGAAGGGCUGGGGACAAAUCUGCCUGAUCAAUAAAUAAGGCAUUCAAUUGAUCUUGGCAAGCAAGAGCAGACCCUAAAUCAUUGGAUGCCUUCUAAUAAAAAUGCACAAAGUUGACAGCCAAGUCUUGGGAUGAAGGAACACUUUAAGAGAAUACCAGAGCAUUAGCAGAGGAAUAAGAAGAGUCAGCGAUCCCUCAUUUCUUUCAUUCGAAUUGUGCUGCGUUGGAUUAUCUUUCGCAAGCCACUUUGUGACCGAAACAAGGUUAAAAAAACCCAAAAGCACAAUCUCCACAUCUAAAUUAUUGAGGAACACUUGAGCAUCACUGCAGAAGCCUUUGGAUCGCAUCUCUUAUUCUUGCCUGCCUACUCUGAAGUGGCUAGAAGAGGGCAGAGUAUAUCUUAUCUCGAAAUAUUAUCAGACAUGGAAUGUGGAAAUAUAUGCUUGCCCCUCUGGCAAAUAGAAGGGGAAGAAAAGGAGGCAGUGAGAGAUUUUACUUUCUUGGGCUCCAUGAUCACUGCAGAUGGUAACAGCAGCCAUGAAAUUAAAAGACGCCUGCUUCUUGGGAGAAAAGCAAUGACAAGCCUAGAUAGCAUCUUAAAAAGCAGAGACAUCACCUUGCCAACAAAGGUUCGUAUAGUUAAAGCUAUGGUUUUCCCAGUAGUGAUGUAUGGAAGUGAGAGCUGGACCCUAAAGAAGCCUGAUCGCCAAAGAUUUGAUGCUUUUGAAUUAUGGUGCUGGAGGAGACUCUUGAGAGUCCCAUGGACUGCAAGAAAAUCAAACCUCUCCAUUCUGAAGGAAAUCAGCCCUGAGUGCUCACUGGAAGGACAGAUCCUGAAGCUGAGGCUCCAAUACUUUAGCCGCCUCAUGAGAAGAGAAGACUCCCUGGAAAAGACCCUGAUGUUGGGGAAGAUGGAGGGCACAAGGAGAAGGGGACAACAGAGGACGAGAUGGUUGGACAGUGUUCUCAAAGCUACCAGCAUGAAUUUGACCAAACUGCAGGAGGCAGUGGAAGACAGGAGUGCCUGGCAUCCUGUGGUCCAUGGGGUCACGAAGAGUCAGACACGACUAAACGACUAAACAACAACAACAUACUUGUCUCUACAACCAGCCCUGAGCAUAGCAGGUUGUUGCUGCCUCUAGUUCUUCCUUGAAAUAGUUGCAAUCCUGAAAGAAUGAUGGGGACAUAGGGUUAAUUUGCCAUGGUGUUGAAGGAACAGCAAGUCUCUCUUUCCUUGGCAUAUCUGCCACCUAUGACCCAAAGUUAUCAAAAUACAGAAAUACCCCUUGUGAUAGUGUUCUGGUCAAACAAACUGAGCACAGUGCCCUGGGUGGAACAUGUCUCCCUGUUCAAUCAGGAAUGGGUGUGCUUGGGUUAGCAUAAACUCAAAUCCACUUUGGGAUUAUGGUUGAGAGCAGGGUGGCCCUCCAGAUGUGGUUGGACUUCAAGUCCCAUCAGCCCUGAGCAGCAUGGCCAAUGCCCAGGGAUGAUGAGGCAUGGUGGUCCAGCAAUAUCUGGUGGGCUAUGGAUUUCCCACAUCUCACUUAGGACCAGACAGCCUCAGAAACAGACUUCUUCCAUUUGAACUUGCCUUCCUUUCCAAUCUGCCUCAGAGACUCAGUUCCUCUUCUAUUCACUUAUGAGAAUAUGUGGGCAGGUUCAAGAGAUAGGGCCUGUUUAGUGGUGGCCCCAAGAUUGUAAAAUUCUCUCCACCAUGAGAUUCACCAGCAUUCCUUUUUCUCUAUUUUUAGAUUAUUAGUAAAGCUUUCUUUCUUUCUUUCUUUCUUUCUUUCUUUCUUUCUUUCUUUCUUUCUUUCUUUCUAAGAGAAAUAGGUUUUUUUUGGUGUGUUUUUCUAAAACUAUAUACUGUAUGGAAAUUAACAACAGUACAACAAAAAAGGAUUCUACACACCCUAAUGUUAGCUAAGAGACUGAUAUUGAUGAAGUGAAAUAAUAAAUAUAUGACACCCUUUAAUCAAUGGACUGACAAUGUGACAAAACUCGCAACUUAUGAACGGACUGCUUACAGAUGUAGACUUCUGUUUGGAUAAACAUGACAGCAUUUGGAAUGAGUUUAUACGUGGAAAAAGAAAAUUAGGUCAUUUUGGUAGAUAUGAUAUAAAUAUCUACAAAAUGAGUUGAUGAAUUGAUGAGAUAGAUAACGUAACUACAUUAUUAAAUUUAUAUAGGAGUGAUAUAAGGUUAGAAGGACUAGCUGGAAUGCCAUCUGAACUAGAAUACAAAAUUGCGAGGUGAGAGGAGGUCAUGGAAAUAAGCCCAGGCAUAGGACGUAAAGGGUUUAAUCUGUUUUUGAUCUACUUUAACUCAGGACGAAUUUCCAUAUUUGUGUUUGUCUUCUUAUGACUCAAAUGUCUUGUGCAGUCUUGAGUUAUUUUUUGCUCCCUCUUAUGGCUAAGCUCGCUAAGCCUUUGUAUAGCUCUUUUAGCAGCUUGCAAUCCGCUAAGCUCGAAUAAGCAUCAUUUAAUAGCCGCUAAACCGCUGAAUGAGCUAAUCCAGCUAAUAGUAGGUUGCUUAAUAUCUACAAAUACCGCUAGACGAAGACACUCGCGGAACGGAUUAAUUUCGUCUUGCGAGGCACCACUGUAUAUUACAUUACACACAAUAUAUACUGUAUUUUUCUGUGUAUAAGACUAGGUUUUGUUUCCCCCCGCCAAAAAAAUGAGGUUUAAAAUUGGGGCUUGUCUUAUACACGGGUAGUGCUGAGGGGUGUUUUCUUAAUCUGGAGUUCCCAAAAAUAGGAGGCAUCUUAUACAUGGGGCAAACACACACACACACACACACACACACACAGUGCUUUUUUUUUCCUAAGAAAAAUAUUUAGGAGUACUCUCAUUUUGACUCAAGAAAAUCACCAUUUUAUGGCUCAAAUUGGGAAAAAUAAAUACAGUAAAUGGACAAAAGUACAAAGUUUCAAAAAUGAUUAGGGGUAUUUAUCCCCCCCCGAAAAAAGCAGUGUGUGUGUGUGUGUGUGUGUGUGUUCUCAUACACCCCUUUGUCUUGCCCCACUUCCCCUUUUUUCUCUCUGUACCAUUUAUUUCUUUAUAAUUGAAAUUCUUUCAAUAAACAUUAAUAUUUUUAAAAGAACCAAUAAACUUUUAGUGUAUGACCUGCCAUUUUAAAACUAUUAGUGGGAUCAGUGGGAGCUUAUUGAGUUGCUAUUCAGAUGUACUUCAGAUGCUUUGAUGGUCUGAACAGAGAAGCAGGAUACAAAUAUUAAACUGAACUAAGCAAAGCUAAACUAAAUUUAGCUGCAGAAGUCCCAACACAGUGACUACACAGAAGUCCAGCUGAAGAACAACAUUUAAAGGUAAGCAACCCUCCUUUUAAGCCCAUCAAGCAUGUGAGAAGUCCUUUCUUUCCAUAUUUCAGCUGAGCAUCAUGGAUGCUUCCUGAUUUCAGACACCACAGCUCUGGAGUGUCUCUUAAGUUUGAAGUGAUGGUCUGUCAACAGCAGAGGAAAAACCAACUUCAUGCAGCCAGAUCCACACCUAAGAAAAUCUGCGGAAUGGGCAUAGAUGAAAUCAGUAGGGCAUCCCUAUUGAAUACUUUAACUCAGAGAGGAAAAGAUAAUCACCACCACUAACAAAAACGAAGUGCCAACUCUUUGCCAUUACAGUGGUACCUCAGGUUACAUACGCUUCAGGUUACAUACACUUCAGGUUACAAACUCCGCUAACCCAGAAAUAGUGCUUCAGGUUAAGAACUUUGCUUCAGGAUGAGAACAGAAAUUGCGCUUCGGCAGCGCAGCAGCAGCAGGAGGCCCCAUUAGCUAAAGUGGUGCUUCAGGUUAAGAACAAUUUCAGGUUAAGUACGGACCUCCGGAACAAAUUAAGUACUUAACCCGAGGGACCACUGUAUUACCUUUGGUGACAAGAAGUGUUCCUGACCUUCCAGGAGAUGGAAUACAGCUACUGUGAGUUGAAUUAGGUAAAUGCACAAGCAUCAGAAAACCACACAGUCCUGGGUUGGAGAUAACUCUUGGUUAGCAAAACCAUGGUCUCCACAGACUUGGCUGUGUGUCAGGCCUAGUGAGCAUGGCAGCUCAUUCCUAGUGGGUCUUACUCCAUGAAAUCGGUUGCCGGGACUAAAGGUCUCUUCCUCCCCACAGCUGUCUGUGCCUUCUCCUCUCCAGGGCUUUCCCCAAGCAAUCAGAGACUUUGCCUGCGUGCAGCCAACCUCUCCUCUGCCCUUUUCAUCCCUCUUCUGGUUCUGGGAGACAAGGUGGUGGGGAGCUAAUAGUAAUAAUAAUAAUAAUAAUAAUAAUAAUAAUAAUAAUAAUAAUUUAUUAUUUAUACCCCGCUCAUCUGGCUGGGUUUCCCCAGCAACUCUGGGCGGCUUCCAACAAAACACUAAAAUACAAUAACCUAUUAAACAUUAAGAGCUUCUCUAAACAAGGCUGCCUUCAGAUGUCUUCUAAAAGCUUGGUAGUUAUUUUUCUCUUUGACAUCUGGUGGGACAUCAGGUGCCACUACCGAGAAGGCCCUCUGUCUGGUUCCCUGUAGCCUCACUUCUUGCAAUGAGGGAACUGCCAGAAGGCCCUCGGCGCUGGACCUCAGCAGAAGGAGGAGACACCCAUGACUCUUCAUCAGCCUGACUCAUCUCUGCCUCUUGACAUCUCUCAUCCACUCUCCAGCUUCAGCUUCAGGACUUCUCUCUACCACGGACUCUCACAGCUCAAUAAAUCCUGUUACCUCUUCAGCUUCUGACACAUCCUCUUCCCAGUCUUCUCCCUAUGAACAGUAUCAUUAUCCCACUACCACUGUCUGGGGUCUGAGCCUUCUUCCUUUUGGUGGUUCCCUAGCUGAUUCCUCCCAGCAUUCCCCUGUGUCCAACCAGCCCGUGACAAGAGGCAUGGUUGGGAAUGCAACCUAAGUUAGGUCCUGGUGAAAUCAGUGUGGAUACUUCAUCACAGUGACUUAAGAGCCAAUAAACAGAACUAUUAGAACCCAAAACUAAGAUCUUGUCAAAGAUGUAUAACUUGCUGUUGAAAUGGAAUACUCAGGAUGAAACGGUGAAAUCUGCUAUGAUUAAAUGGGCACAAGAUGUUGGACAUAACAUAAUGAUGGCUGACUGGGAACAGUUAUGGACCACAGGUAUGAAGUUUACGGCAUGUAAUGCCUUAAGAGAGAAUAUUAUGAAAAUGAUAUACAGGUGGUACAUGACCCCAGUCAAGCUUGCAAAAAUUUAUCAUUUGCCCGAUAAUAAAUGUUGGAAAUGUAAAGAAACUGAAGGUACAUUCUUUCACCUUUGGUGGACGUGCCCAAGGAUUAAGGCUUUCUGGGAAAUGAUAUAUAAUGAACUGAAAAAGGUAUUUAAAUAUACCUACCUGAAGAAACCAGAGGCCUUUCUCCUGGGCAUAGUCGGCCAAUUGGUGCCAAAGAAGGAUAGAACUUUUUUUAUGUAUGCCACAACAGCAGCAAGAAUACUCAUCGCAAAGUAUUGGAAGACACAAGAUUUACCCACUCUGGAAGAAUGGCAGAUGAAGUUGAUGGACUAUAUGGAAUUGGCAGAAAUGACUGGCAGAAUCCGAGACCAGGGAGAAGAGUCGGUGGAAGAAGAUUGGAAGAAGUUCAAAGAUUAUCUACAGAAAUAUUGUAAAAUUAAUGAAUGUCAGAACGAUGUAGGAUAGAAAUUAAGUGGUUUCCAGCUGUAAUGCUUUAAGGGAAUAUGAAAAAUGGGUUGUUAAGAGAUAAAAAUCUAAAGUUACUAUUUUAAGACUAAAGAUUAGGAUAAAUAAAGAGGGUAAGGAUUUGCUGAACCAACAAACUGAACUGGAAUACAAGAAAGGGAGGUAUGAGGAGGUCCGGGAAACAAGCUAAGGAAAAAUAAGUAAUAGAAAAUCUGAGUGUUUUUAAUCAUUUUUAUUUUGUAUUUUUUUUCUUUUUCAUUUUUAUUGUAAUAUUUUAAAAAUCCUAAUAAAUAUCUUAUAUAUAUAUAAAAAAAGAGCCAGUGUGGUGUAGUGGUUAAGAGUAGUAGUCUCGUAAUCUGGGGAACCAGGUUCGUGUCUCCGCUCCUCCACAUGCAGCUGCUGGGUGACCUUGGGCCAGUCACACUUCUCUGAAGUCUCUCAGCCCCACUCACCUCACAGAGUGUUUGUUGUGGGGGAGGAAGGGAAAGGAGAAUGUUAGCCGCUUUGAGACUCCUUCGGGUAGUGAUAAAGCGGAAUAUCAAAUCCAAACUCUUAAGACCCAUUGCUUUCAGCAGGAAGUGAGGCGAACCUAGGCUGGGUCCAUCCUGUUAGAAAAAUGCAACCUGUGCUGCUGAUAGAAGUAGUGUGACUCAUGCAACACGUUGGCAAUUAAUAUACACAGAACAAUAAUUAUACAUACUUUAUCAACGUCUGAGAAAAAUACAAAGCAUUAAACAAAGCCACAAAAACUUGCAAACUACCCAGCCUAAAAUGAACUUACAAUGUCUGGUUUCAAUAGAUGUUUCAAACACUUAACUCAGUCUAUUAGAUAAGUUCAUGAAGAGACUAACAAAAGGUAGGUUCGGUGAUAUUUACAAUACUGAGAGAUGCUAGUACAGUUGUAAGGUAAAGGUAAAGGGACCCCUGACCAUUAGGUCCAGUCGUGACCGACUCUGAGGUUGCGGCGCUCAUUUCGCUUUAUUGGCCGAGGGAGCUGGCGUACAGCUUCCGGGUCAUGUGGCCAGCAUUACUAAGCCGCUUCUGGCGAACCAGAGCAGCGCACGGAAACGCCGUUUACCUUCCCGCUGGAGCGAUACCUAUUUAUCUACUUGCACUCUGAUGUGCUUUUGAAUUGAUAGGUUAGCAGGAGCAGGGACCGAGCAAUGGGAGCUCACCCCGUCGCGGGGAUUCGAACCGCCAACCUUCUGAUCGGCAAGUCCUAGGCUUUGUGGUUUAACCCACAGCGCCACCCGCGUCCCUUUAUAGAGUUGUAGAUAGAGGUUAAUAAAGUUGUAGACAAUGAAGUUGUAGAUGACAGGGUGCCGGCACUGUGCACCUGUUUUGCCCUGGCAGUCCAAGUAAUCAAAAGGCCGCUGUUCGCCCCCGAUGGGGCCCUUUAACUUGGGCUUGCAGGUAGCACACUCCCAAGAUAGUUUUCCAGGCUUCUUCAGUGGUCUAAUCUCAAAGUCUUGAUAUGUGUAUUGAUAUUCAAUCUUAUAGAGAAUACUCUUUCUUGCCUUAAGCUAAGCAGAUCAGUCUCUUAAGCUUAAACCAAGAAAGGUGCAAAACACCGGCACCCUGUCGUCUACAACUUCAUUGUCUACAACUUUAUUAACAUCUAUCUACAACUCUACAACUCCCUGCUUAUUUAACUUAUAUGCAGAAUUCAUCAUGCGAAAGGCUGGGCUGGAUGAAUCCCAAACCGGAAUUAAGAUUGCCAGAAGAAAUAUCAACAACCUCAGAUAUGCAGAUGACACAACCUUGAUGGCAGAAAGUGAGGAGGAAUUAAAGAACCUUUUAAUGAGGGUGAAAGAGGAGAGCGCAAAAUAUGGUCUGAAGCUCAACAUCAAAAAAAAAAAAGAAGAAGAAGAAGAAGAAGAUCAUGGCCACUGGGCCCAUCACCUCCUGGCAAAUAGGAGGGGAAGAAAUGGGGGCAGUGAGAGAUUUUACUUUCUUGGGCUCCAUGAUCACUGCAGAUGGUAACAGCAGUCACGAAAUUAAAAGACGCCUGCUUCUUGGGAGAAAAGGAAUGACAAACCUAGACAGCAUCUUAAAAAGCAGAGACAUCACCUUGCCAACAAAGGUUCUGUAUAGUUCAAGCUAUGGUUUUUCCAGUAGUGAUGUAUGGAAGUGAGAGCUGGACCAUGAAGAAGGCUGAUUGCUGAAGAAUUGAUGCUUUUGAAUUAUGGUGCUGGAGGAGACUCUUGAGAGUCCCAUGGACUGCAAGAAGAUCAAAGCUAUCCAUUCUUAAGGAAAUCAGCUCUGAGUGCUCACUGGAAGGACAGAUCGUGAAGCUGAGGCUCCAAUACUUUGGCCACCUCCUGAGAAGAGAAGACUCCCUAGAAAAGACCCUGAUGUUGGGAAAGAUGGAGGGCACAAGGAGAUGGGGACGACAGAGGACGAGAUGGUUGGACAGUGUUGUUGAAGCUACCAGCAUGAGUUUGACCAAACUGCGGGAGGCAGUGGAAGACAGGAGUACCUGGCGUGCUCUGGUCCAUGGGGUCACGAAGAGUCGGACACGACUAAACGACUAAACAACAACAACAACUCUACUAUCAUCUCUCGGUACUGUGAAUAUCACCGAACUUACCUUUUGUUGGUAUCUUCAUGAACUUAUCCAGUAGACUGAGUUAAGCUUUUGAAAAAUCUAUUGAAACCAGACAUUAUAAGUCUUUGUGGCUCUGUUUAAUGUUUUGUAUUUUUCUCAGAAGGUUGAUAAAGUAUGUAUAAUUAUUGUUCUGUGUAUAUUAAUCGCCAAUGUGUUGCAUGAGUCACACUACUGGAUCCAAUCUGUAGCUUCUCAUCGUUUCUUUCAACUUCCCUGAUCUUUUAUGCUGCUAUUAAAAAAAAAAAAAUCACCUUCAUGUUUGCUGUCUGCCUAACUCGUUUGCUCUUUUCUGGCCUAAUGGCAGCAAUAUCAUAGCCUUAGCUGACACCAAAAUGAAUAUUUGCAGGAAAAAACAGUAUAUUUCCUCGCCCCACCUCCUUCCCUCCUGGUGGCAAGGGUGCCUGUGUGUGCCUGGAAACUUGUCCCUUUGAACUCCGAGGCUGGGAGGGCAAAAAAAGAGAGAGGGGAAAACCUUUUCCAGGGAAAAGAAAAAUCAUCCCAGCAGCUUCCAAAACAUUGGCAACUCUGUUAUUUUUAACUGCAAAGAGAGGAAUUUGGGACAAGGGAUGAAUGCAAAAGGAGCGUGAAUGAAAAGAAGGAAAACGAUGGAGACAUUAAGGAGGAAACCGCAAGGCCAGAAAGGCCCGUAAUGAGUCUAUUGAUGCGAAAAUUAAAGAAAUGCAAAUUAUUUUGCGGGGCGGGGUGGGUGGUGGGUGGGGAAGAGAUGGAGCCUGCCUUAAUCUUAUAAAGGGAAUUCAUGGGCCACCCCAGGGAGAAUGUGAAGUAAGUGUUCGGUGAUGUGUUGACUUUAAUGCAGGAAAGAAGUCUGCUGCUGAGAGCAACAUUAAUCCUAUGUCUGUGUUUGGUUUCCAGUUGUUUCUUAGCAUCCUCCCUGGUCACUGGGAUGGAAGGCUUAGAUUUAAAGAGGCACGUUGCACAUCAGGUACCAGGCCUCUGUUGAUUGUGUGAAUUGGCUAGCAGCCCCCUCAAUGUCCCCAUUUUAUUAUUUAAUUAUUAUUUGGCGCAAAUCCUCCGAGAAGCUCCAGGUGGCCAAGUGCUUUUCUCGCUUUCCGUUUCAUCCCAUCAACAUUGAUGGAACGCUCUGUCACAAGAGACUAGGGUCCUGCAGGCCUUGACAUCUUUCCGCAGGGCCUGCAAGGCAGAGCGGUAUCACCAGGCCUUUGCUGAUGUCCUGAAAGUCUCCUACGGUUGCCAUAUGUCCUCUUUUUCCAGGAGACAUCCUUGUUUUGAUGGGUAUGUAAAAGGAGAGUCAUCACAGAGAUCCAUAGUUAAAAGCAGAAGGCGGCAAAUGUGUCCUCUUUUUUGCUCUUCAAAAUAGGGCAACCCUGAAUUUAAUUACAACAGUUGUGUCUUUCUUCACAUUUCUGAACACUAACAGUCUGAGGUAAGCCUUACUGAAUCCAGAGGAACUUGCUACCAAAUAAGUGGGCAUAGGAUUACAGCCUGAUUUUGUAUUUUUUAACUGUUGCAGAACACAGUCCUAUUUUAGGGGAACCUAAAAAUGGCCAUCACUCUUCUACCCACCCCCCUUUUCACAGAACUAGCUGAAAUUUGCAGGCAAAAGUGCUCCUCUGGAGUGGAUUAAGCUUGCCAAAUUGCAGUCAGAUCCACACAAGGAUUUUAAUUCAGGAGCAUUUAUAUAUUUUAAAGAAGAAGAAAGUCCAUUCUUCUUCUUCUUCUUCUUCUUCUUCUUCUUCUUCUUCUUCUUCUUCUUCUUCUUCUUCCAGAACUGGGUGCAAUUUUCAGACAUGGUUGUCCAAUCUGAGAAGAUGGAUCCAGCCAGCUUUCAAAAUGAUGAGGAUAUCAGUGCUUCUGUAAUGACAGACUUUACCAUUUUGAGGUGGGUAAAAUAGAAAUCAUCUAGCACCUAGUGUCUGGUGAGCAAUUUGUCUGAAAACAUGAAGGAGGAACCCAUGGGUAAAUGGGUAAUAAUUAAGCUGACAAUGAGCAGCACACCUGAGAACUUACGUUAAGGGAGGCAAAGGGAAAAUAAACAUUAAUUUAAAAAAAUGGACAGCAAGGAGUCACAAGAAGAGCUCUGCAACUGGAGUGUGAGAGAGGAAAAUUGUACUGAGGUGAGUGACUUAGGAAUUUAAGGAAUCCCUGAUCUGAUCUGAGAUGCCUUGCUCACAGUGCAAGCUAACUUGGGAAUGUGAUAACCUCAUCCAGAUCACCCCUACUUGACUUGUAAUUCAGGCUGCGCACAGAACCAAUGUACACCUCUUCCAGAAUUCCCUGCUUACCUCCCUCCACUGAAAACUGUCUAUUGUAAAGACUGCCCCAUUGUCUGAAUCCUCCAUUUGCCUAUUUGCAAAUCCAUAAAAGGAUUCAUCCUCUUGCUCCAUGAUCCCUGUGCUUCCUUUGGGCCAGGGGUUUUUUAAAAAUGCCUUUCGAAAGUUCCAGCAGAUAAUGUUCAUUAGAUCACAGACAUGCACUCUUCUGUGCAAUUUUGUUGGCCUUCCAACAGAAUUCUAAAACAUAGUGAGUCAGCGAGCGAGCGAAGGAUCCAUCACAGUUAGCUCUUGAUUCCAACAAAGAAAAAUAGCUCAUUUAGCACAUUCAUAAUACCAUCCAGGGUCUUCCAAGAACAAACAUCCCUCCUACCUUAAAUUGUGCACCAUUAAGCUCUCUGCACUGAUGUGAUGCCAAGGGCAAAAUAAUGUUUGCCAAGGGCAAAAUAACAUGAGCCAAAGACUCUGCGUUUAACUAAGGGAAGUUCUCCUAUUAAUGGAUUGCAUUAGGAUAGAGGGGGCAAGACCUCUUUUAGUAAUCUUUGUUAGGCAUGAUAGAAAUUGCAUAAUUUUUUUUUUUUUAUAAUAUUUAUUCAAAUUUUAAGAUUACAGAAAAAGAAAAAAGUAAAGAAAGAAAAACUAAUCACAUACAUCCUACAAGAAAAUCACACAAUACAAGGAAAAAUACACAAGACAAAAAAUCACAAUAAAAAAUAACAAAAGAAAAAUUCAACUUAAACCAUUAGAGCCGUUUUCCCAUUUACUUAUUUCCGUGACUUCCUCUCACUUCUCUGCUUUGUAUUCUAAUUCAAAUUGUAUCUCCAGCAAAUCCUUCUAACCUUCUUUUCAUUUACUUAUUUUAACAUUCAAAAAUAUUUAAUUCUCCUCUAUCUUUUAUUUUACACUUCAUAUUUACUUAAUUCCAUUAUACUCUGUCUGCCAAUACGGUCUAAUAUUCUUCUCCAACCUUUUCUAACAUUCUUUUAUAUUACAGUAAUUCUGGAGAUAUGUUUUAAAUUUUUUCCAAUCUUCUUCCAUCGACCCUUCUUCUUGAUCUCGAAUUCUGCCGGUCAUCUCAGCCAGUUCCAUAUAGUCAAUCACUUUUCUCUGCCAUUCUUCUCGGGUAGGCAAUUCUUGUGUCUUCCAGUAUUUCCCAAUGAGUAUUCUUGCUGCUGCUGUCGCAUACAUAAAAAAAUUCCUGUCUUCCCUUCGCACCAAUUGACCGACCAUGCCCAAGAGGAAGGCCUCUGGUUUCUUCAAGAAAGUAUAUUUCAAUACCUUUUUAGUUCAUUAUAUAUCAUUUCCCAGAAGGCCUUGAUCUUUGGGCACGUCCACCAAAGGUGAAAAAAGUACCUUCGUUUUCUUUACAUUUCCAACAUUUAUUAUCAGGCAAAUGAUAAAUUUUUGCUAGCUUGACUGGGGUUAAGUACCACCUGUAAAUCAUUUUCAUUAUAUUUUCUCUUAAGGCGUUACAAGCCGUAAAUUUCAUACCUGUGGUCCAUAACCGUUCCCAGUCAGCAAACAUAAUGUUAUGCCCAACAUCUUGCGCCCAUUUAAUCAUAGCAGAUUUGACCGUUUCAUCCUGUGUAUUCCAUUUCAACAGCAGAUUAUACAUUCUUGACAGAUUUUUAGUUUUAGGUUCUAACAAUUCCGUUUCCAGUUUAGAUUUUUCAUCCUGGAAACCGAUCUUUUUGUCUAAAUUAAAAACCUCCCUUAUUUGAUAGUAAUGCAGCCAAUCUCGAACUUUAGUUUUUAAUUUGUCGAAGCUCUGCAAUUUUAGUUUAUCACCAACUUGUUCUAAGAUUUCACAAUAUUUUGGCCAGUUUGUCUCCAUAUUAGUUUUUUUCAAUGCCUUUGCCUCCAUUGGUGACAGCCACCAAUUUGCAUAAUUUGCUAAGUGAUCUCAUCAAAGAGACUCAAGGUAGUUAACAAACAGUUACAGACACAGAAUGAAAACAAACUAAGCGUAGUAUUUACUCAGAGUAGACUCAAUGAAAUUAAUAAACACAAUUUAGGUCCAUUAAUUUUAAUGGGGCGGGAUGUGGGUGGCGCUGUGGGUUAAGCCACACAGCCUAGGACUUGCCGAUCAGAAGGUUGCGGUUCGAAUCCCCGCGACGGGGUGAGCUCCCUUUGCUCAGUCCCUGCUCCUGCCAACCUAGGAGUUUGAAAGCAUGUCAAAGUGCAAGUAGAUAAAUAGGUACCACCCCGGUGGGAAGGUAAACACGUUUCCGUGCGCUGCUCUGGUUCACCAGAAGCGGCUUAGUCAUGCUGGCCACAUGACCCGGAAGCUGUAUGCUGGCUCCCGCGGCCAAUAAAGCGAGAUGAGUGCCGCAACCCCAGAGUCGGCCACGACUGGACCUAAUGGUCAGUGGUCCCUUUACCUUUUUAAUUUCAAUGGGUCUAAACUGAAUACCUCCCAUAAUCCCUAAAUAUUAAAUGAACAAUAUCCUUGACAAAUGAUUCUGCCUUUGAUUAUCUGUAAAGUCAGUGACCCAGAACAAACCAUUGACUCUUUAUGGCCUGACCUUAACGGUUUGAAUGUUUUUUUCUGCUUCUUUGCCCUGUUUCUUCUUGCACUCUCGUGUUCUUCCCAUUUUUAUAAUCGUGAAAUGCUGGUCCUGUAUCUGAUACGUGUAUGCCAACAUGAAUAAUAGGUAAAGGUAAAGGGACCCCUGACUAUUAGGUCCAGUCGUGACCAACUCUGGGGUUGCGGCGCUCAUCUCGCUUUAUUGGCCGAGGGAGCCAUCGUACAGCUUGCGGGUCAUGUGGCCAGCAUGACUAAGCUGCUUCUGGCGAACCAGAGCAGCGCAUGGAAACGCCGUUUACCUUCCCGCCGGAGCUGUACCUAUUUAUCUACUUGCACUGGUGUGCUUUCGAACUGCUAAUUUGGCAGGAGCAGGGACCGAGCAAUGGGAGCUCACCACGUCGCGGGGAUUUGAACCAUUGACCUUCUGAUCAGCAAGUCCUAGGCUCUGUGCUUUAACCCACAGCGCCACCCACGUCUCAACAUGAAUAAUAGUUGCCAAUAAUAUUAUACCAUUCAACAGCUGUAGGAAAGUAACAUGAACUUGUGAGUUUCCCUGUGCUAGGUUAAUUCUCAUGAUCCAGGAGUUUAGGAUAUCCACAGAUUUAACAAUCAGUCAGCCUGGAAGGAAAGAGAACCAAAUCUACUUUUGGAUUCGAUUAGAGUGGUACCUCGGGUUACAGAUGCUUCAGGUUACAGAUUCCGCUAACCCAGAAAUAGUACCUCGGGUUAAGAACUUUGCUUCAGGAUGAGAACAGAAAUCGCGCGGUGGUGGCAUGGCAGCAUCGGGAGGCCCCAUUAGCUAAAGUGGUGCUUCAGGUUAAGAACAGUUUCAGGUUAAGAAUGGACCUUCAGAACGAAUUAAGUUCUUAACCCAAGGUAGCACUGUAACUAUCUGUUUCAUAAUAGACUUUAAAACAUCACCACAAUAAAUUCUAUCCCUUAACAUAAUUGUGAACUAGGUAUAAGUAAAUUCAGGGCUAUUUUUUCUAGAAAAAGAGGGGCUGGAACUCACCAUGAACACCUCACCUCGCUCGUUCUCUUUGGAAGGCAAUGGUGCCCACCUGAGAGGUGUCGGAACUGAGUUCCGGAGAGUUCCGGGUGAAAAAAAGCCCUGAGUAAAUUCAAUAUGUAAAGUUCAACCAAUGGAGUCCAGUUUUCUAUAAAAUCACCCCAUCUUUGACACCUUUCCUUUGCACUUACAAAUAAAUUCGUUAUGUGAAUUUUUUAGUUUAUUGAAAUUAAGUAACCUUUUCUCUCUCUCCUUAUUUUUGUUGGGUUGUUUCUCUUCAAAGACUCAUCUUCUCCCAUAUGAAAUGCACAGCAUGCGAAAUAUUUUAAGAAAACAACUGUCCCUAAUGCAAGGAAACUUGUCUCCCUAUCCUCUCUAUAGGUUUGGCCAUACAGAGCUUCUGAUUGAAGUCAGUUCUGAGUAGACAUCAGAGGGCGACUUAUACAAAUAUGGGAGCAGC